rnacentral:tRNA from 1 species
AGGCUUGUAGUUUAAUGGUAGAAUUCUUGCCUGCUAUGCAGGAGACCUGGGUUCAAUUUUCAGGCUUG